GCCUUCGUGGUGUAGCGGUCAGCACGCUGGGCGCGUAUUCCAGAGGUCCGUGGUUCGAUUCCCGGCGAAGGCG
rnacentral:tRNA from 1 species